rnacentral:rRNA from 1 species
UCAGGUGGCCGCAGAGAAUAGGCCCAAGCGACUGUUUACCAAAAACAUAGGUUUCUGCUAAGUCGCAAGACGAUGUAUAGGAGCUGACGCCUGCCCGGUGCUGGAAGGUUAAGGGGAUCUGUUAGAGCAAUCGAAGCAGUGAACUUAAGCCCCAGUAAACGGCGGCCGUAACUAUAACGGUCCUAAGGUAGCGAAAUUCCUUGUCGGGUAAGUUCCGACCCGCACGAAAGGCGUAACGAUUUGGGCACUGUCUCAACAACAGACUCGGUGAAAUUGUAAUUCCGGUGAAGAUGCCGGAUACCUGCGACAGGACGGAAAGACCCCAUGGAGCUUUACUGUAGCUUGACAUUGGGUCUUGGUACUACAUGUACAGGAUAGGUGGGAGGCUUUGAAACCAGGACGACAGUUUUGGCGGAGCCAUCCUUGGGAUACCACCCUUGUAGUACUGGGACUCUAACCAUAGGCCAUGAAUCUGGUCUUGGGACACUGUCAGGUGGGCAGUUUGACUGGGGCGGUCGCCUCCCAAAAGG